CGGGAGGCAGCAGUAAGGAAUCUUCCACAAUGGGCGAAAGCCUGAUGGAGCAACUCCGCGUGCAGGAUGAAGGCCUUCAGGGUUGUAAACUCGUCUUUUAUGAGUGAAGAAUAUGACGGUAACUCAUGAAUAAGGGUCGGCUAACUACGUGCCAGCAGCCGCG
rnacentral:rRNA from 1 species